CACUAGGAAGCUAAAUCGGGUCUAGCGUCAGCCUUUUAAGCUGAAGACUGGUGGCCCCCAACCACCCCCAGUGA
rnacentral:tRNA from 1 species